rnacentral:rRNA from 1 species
CGCCUCUUGAAUAAAUAUAAGAGGUCCAGCCUGCCCAGUGACUCUGUUCAACGGCCGCGGUAUCCUAACCGUGCGAAGGUAGCGUAAUCACUUGUUCUUUAAAUGAGGACUAGUAUGAAUGGCACCACGAAGGUUAUACUGUCUCCUCUCUCUAAUCAGUGAAACUAAUCUCCCCGUGAAGAAGCGGGAAUAAACAUAUAAGACGAGAAGACCCUAUGGAGCUUUAAACUAUGUAACACUUGCACCACCACAGCACAAAUUUCAGAAAAAUCUCUCCAACGCAUGCAAGCUUAUUACCAGUUUUAGGUUGGGGUGACCGCGGAGCAAAAAACAACCUCCACAUUGAAAGGAACUUACUCCUUAGCCAAGAGCCACACCUCCACGCACCAUUAUAAUGACAUUAAUUGACCCAAUAUUUUGAUCAACGAACCAAGUUACCCUAGGGAUAACAGCGCAAUCCAUUUCAAGAGCUCCUAUCGACAAAUGGGUUUACGACCUCGAUGUUGGAUCAGGGUAUCCCAGUGGUGCAGCCGCUACCAAAGGUUCGUUUGUUCAACGAUUAAAACCCU